CUUGAUGGAGCCCAGCCAGAGCGGCUGGUCCUCCGGGCGGUUCUGUCCGUAGGUGGCCAGGAGCGCCUGGGCCUC
rnacentral:antisense_RNA from 1 species